UAUACUUCCUUAGUUAGAUUGAAUACGAGUGGAUGUACUUUUUUCCAUUCAAUAUUAAAAAAUUAUGUGUCCCAUUUUGUAUGACAAGUUGGAAUCUCAUUGUUUUGAAUUAAUAUUUAUGCCCCCCUUCGAAGAAGAGGGGGUAUAUUGCUUUGCUCAUGUCGGUCGGUAUGUCGGUCCGUCCACCAGGUGGUUGUCGGAUGAUAACUCAAGAACGCAUACGCCUAUGAUCAUGAAACUUCAUAGGUAGAUUGAUCAUGACUCGUAGAUGACCCCUAUUGAUUUUGAGGUCACUAGGUCAAAGGUCAAGGUAACGGUGACCCGAAAUAGUAAAAUGGUUUCCGGAUGAUAACUCAAGAACGCAUACGCCUAGGAUCAUGAAACUUCAUGGGUAGAUUGAUCAUGACUUGCAGAUGACCCCUAUUGAUUUUGAGGUCACUAGGUCAAAGGUCAAGGUCACGGUGACCCGAAAUAGUAAAAUGGUUUCCGGAUGAUAACUCAAGAAUGCAUACGCCUAGGAUCAUGAAACUUCAUGGGUAGAUUGAUCAAGACUCGCAGAUGACCCCUAUUGAUUUUGAGGUCACUAGGUCAAAGGUCAAGGUCACGGUGACCCGAAAUAGUAAAAUGGUUUCCGGAUGAUAACUCAAGAAUGCAUACGCCUAGGAUCAUGAAACUUCAUGGGUAGAUUGAUCAAGACUCGCAGAUGACCCCUAUUGAUUUUGAGGUCACUAGGUCAAAGGUCAAGGUCACGGUGACCCGAAAUAGUAAAAUGGUUUCCGGAUGAUAACUCAAGAAUGCAUACGCCUAGGAUCAUGAAACUUCAUGGGUAGAUUGAUCAUGACUCGCAGAUGACCCCUAUUGAUUUUGAGGUCACUAGGUCAAAGGUCAAGGUCACGGUGACCCGAAAUAGUAAAAUGGUUUCUGGAUGAUAACUCAAGAACGCAUAUGCCUUGGAUCAUGAAACUUCAUAGGUAGAUUGAUCAUGACUCGCAGAUGACCCCUAUUGAUUUUGAGGUCACAAGGUCAAAGGUCAAGGUCACGGUGACCCGAAAUAGUAAAAUGAUUUUUGGAUGAUAACUCAAGAACGCUUUUGCCUAGGAUCAUGACACUUCAUAGGUACAUUGAUCGUGACUCGCAGAUGACCCCUAUUGAUUUUCAGGUCACUAGGUCAAAGGUCAAGGUCACAGUGACAAAAAACGUAUUCACACAAUGGCUGCCACUACAACAGACAGCCCAUAUUUUAUUCUGUUUCCACACUGUCCAGUUAAGAGACUUACAAAUUGAAUUUUUGACACAUGUUCAUUCAUAAUGAUGUAUAAGCCUUUGUUUUUGUGCCAGUAAAUACUAUGUUUAUGGAAAUGACGAGAGAAUUUAACAUUUAAAAAACCAAUGUAAUAUGAUAUGGCAACAGGACAGUUGUGAUUUGCUGGGUAUAUUCUAUUUAGCUUGACCAUCCAAGAUGUUGAUAGCUUUGACAAACUGGUGGUCUGAAACAUUGAGAAAAUGUCAC